CCUGCAGAAGACUUUCCUUUUACCUGAUAUCUGCCUAACAACAAUCCACUCCUCAUCUCUUUAGAUCACACGGCUUUAGCAGGUUCAGAAUCUACCGGAAUAUACCAACUCCCAGUGUUUUGAGUGAGAGCCUUUGUUUGGAAAUAGCCGCUCAUUGUAGCGUUACCGUACCUACACUGGUAGGCUGGUCGCAGUCAUAUUGGAGCUGUGUAGUUAAUUGUUUACAGAGAAGCCUUCAGGCCUGGAACACAGCAGGAUGAGGAGACUGAACCGGGUUAGUGCCUCUGGUCAUGACAACCCUGCCAUGGAGAUGACUGAUGGAGUUGUCAACCAGUAUGAAUGGCAGCCAGUUGUUGGAACUCCGAUCUCUAAGACAUCAGUAUCCAGUGCUGCGAAGGCAGCUGCCCAGUGGGCAUCUUACACCUGCAGCCGCUGGAAACGAGCCUGCCGUCAGUGUAUGAAGAGAAAACCCACAGGUAACAUUUCAGAUAAAACGCCAAACUCAGAUACACUCAGAUAAGAGUUCAAAUACUCUGCACUCUUUCAGGCUGUAUGAUCACCUUCUUGUUUAAAGGGGAAUUCUUUGAGAGCAUGUACAAAGGCCUGGCCUUGGAUGAGGAUGUCAUAGAUGGAGGAGACAAAAGCUUCCACCUCAAUAAAAGACUGAUGGACCAUUUCAGAGAUCUGGCUUCCAGCAAUCAGGACACUGAUGAGGUGGACCUUCAGUACCUGAAUGAUGUAAUCGCAGAUGGAGCCGACCCCAACUCAACAGACCGAUAUGGACAAACUGUCUUACAUGAGGUAUCUUUCCAUGUCAUCAAAUGGC